rnacentral:lncRNA from 1 species
UAUCUACCACCUGUGGAUCCCAAGAAGCUGAUUGAUUCUUUAGAGUGGAUGGAUUAUGGCCGAGUAAAUGAUAUCAUGCGAAAGUUGAUAGGAGACAGACCUGACACAUACAUAGACACAAAAGCGUUGGCAGAAUAUGUUGUACAACAAGAAGGAGCAAAGCUAAAUGUGGAGAUUGUAAGGCCGUCUAUUGUUGGUGCCAGUUGGAAAGAACUUUCCAGGAUGGAUUGAUAACUUUAAUGGACCAAGUGGUCUCUUUAUUGUGGCAGGGAAAGGAAUUCUUUGAACAAUGCGCGUCUCCAAUAAUGCCCUUGAAGAUCUUGUUCCUGUAGAUGUAGUUGUCAACAACAGUCUUGUGGCAGCCUGGUAUUCCGGAGUUAAUAGAACAAGAAACCUCAUGUCAUAUAAUUGUACAACAGAUAGCACUAAUCAUUUCCACUGGGGUGAAGUUUAAUACCAUGUAAUUUCUACUUUCAAGAGGAAUCCUCUCGAACAGGCCUUCAGAUGGCCCAAUGUAAAUCUAACCUCCAAUCACCUUUUAUAUCAUUACUGGAUUGCUGUAAGCCAUAAGGCCUCAGCAUUCCUGGAUGAUAUCUACCUCAGGAUGACUGGAAGAAGCCCAAGGAUGAUGAAAACAAUAAUUCAUCUUCACAAAGCUGUGAUGUUACUUGAGUAUUUCACAAGUAAUUCUUGGGUUUGGAAUACGGACAAUGUCAAUAUGUUAAUGAAUCAACUAAACCUUGAAGAUAAAAAGACUUUCAAUAUUGAUGUACGGCAGUUACAUUAGGCAGAAUAUAUAGAGAACUACUGCAUGGGAACUGAGAAGUACAUAUUGAAUAAAGAAACGUCUGGCCUCCCUGCAGUCAGAAAACAUCUGAACAAGUUGCAUAAUAUAUCUUAUGAUUUUAAUACUAUCCUUGUGAUCCUCAUCUGA